UACGGAGGGUGCAAGCGUUAUCCGGAUUCACUGGGUUUAAAGGGUGCGUAGGCGGGCAUUUAAGUCAGUGGUGAAAUACCUGAGCUUAACUUGGGAACUGCCAUUGAUACUAUUUGUCUUGAAUGUCGUGGAGGUUAGCGGAAUAUGUCAUGUAGCGGUGAAAUGCUUAGAUAUGACAUAGAGCACCUAUUGCGAAGGCAGCUAACUACGCGAAUAUUGACGCUGAGGCACGAAAGCGUGGGGAUCAAACAGG
rnacentral:rRNA from 1 species